rnacentral:rRNA from 1 species
GCAGAACGCGAAGAACCUUACCUGGGCUUGACAUGCAUUGUUCAUCCGGUGAAAGCCGGUGUCCCGCAAGGGAGAAUUGCACAGGUGCUGCAUGGCUGUCGUCAGCUCGUGUCGCGAGAUGUUGGGUUAAGUCCCGCAACGAGCGCAACCCCUGUGAUUAGUUAUACGUCCGAAAGGACUCACUAGUCAGACUGCCCUGUUUAACGGGGAGGAAGGUGGGGAUGACGUCAAGUCAGGAUGGCCCUUAUGCCCAGGGCUGCACACGUACUACAAUGCCCACUACAGAGGGACGCAAGACCGCAAGGUGGAGCCAAUCCCAGAAAAGUGGGCCCAGUUCGGAUUGGAGGCUGCAACUCGCCUCCAUGAAGUUGGAAUCGCUAGUAAUGGCGCAUCAGCUACGGCGCCGUGAAUACGUUCCCGGGUCUUGUACACACCG